rnacentral:rRNA from 1 species
CCUACGGGAGGCUGCAGUGGGGAAUAUUGCGCAAUGGGCGAAAGCCUGACGCAGCGACGCCGCGUGAGGGAUGAAGGUCUUCGGAUCGUAAACCUCUGUCAGCAGGGAAGCACGGUCACUGUGCUAAUCAGCAGUGAAUUGACGGUACCUGCAAAGGAAGCACCGGCUAACUCCGUGCCAGCAGCCGGGGUAAUACGGAGGGUGCGAGCGUUAAUCGGAAUUACUGGGCGUAAAGCGCUCGUAGUCGGUAUGUCAAGUCAAGGGGGAAAUCCCCGCGCUCAACGUGGGAACUGCCUUUGAAACUGGCAAACUGGAGUGUGUGAGAGGAUAGUGGAAUUCCAGGUGUAGGAGUGAAAUGCGUAGAUAUCUGGAAGAACAUCAGUGGCGAAGGCGACUAUCUGGCACAUAACUGACGCUGAGGAGCGAAAGCGUGGGUAGCAAACAGGAUUAGAUACCCCAGUAGUC